GCCAUCGUAGCGAAGCCUGGUUAAUGCGCCUGACUUGUAAUCAGGAGAUUUAAACAAUAAUUAAUUGUUAAACCUGAAAUCGUGGGUUCAACUCCCACCGAUGGCU
rnacentral:tRNA from 1 species